rnacentral:tRNA from 1 species
GGGAGAAUAUUCCGUAGAGGUAGCGGUGCAGACUGUAAAUCUGUUGCCAUUAUGGUUCGGGUGGUUCGACUCCAUCUUCUCCCA